UCUUUCUAGCCCCUCCCCCGGGGUCCACAGUGGUUUGAUCCUACCGCACAGACUAUUAGGACCUUUCUCAUCCCCCCUCUGGCAUCACGACCACUGAUGGUAUGGUCCUUAGCAUCAGGUCCUUUUUGUCCCCCACUGGUCUUCUGAGCAGAUUUGAAGCAGCUUCAUCUCAUUCCUGAUUCAUCCUGAUCCCCUCAGUGGCUUGCUCCUGAAUUAGCAAUAUAAACUGGAUCAAAUGAACUGAAAAUGAUCAGAAAUUGCUCUUGAUCAUUCCAAAUCUUUUCUGACAAGGAAAAAUAAUUCCUGACCUGUUGCAAUUCAUUUUAACCAGUUUAAGCUAAUUCUGUGGAGCUGGAGCCUGAGGUCAGUAAACCCAGGAAGAUGGCUGAAGACUAUGCUGAUUCAAGCCAAAGCCAGGAGCCAGUGGAACAGUGGGCAGGCCGGAUGCUUUGAUGACGAGUGACACGCUGCUGCAGGAUUGAGGGUGGGGUUGGAGCUGUUUGGUGCAACAUGUUUGCACAUCUGCUCAGGAGGUGGAUGCAGCUCUGUGCAUGGUCACCUCUAAGAUCACAUGUUACCCUACUUCACCCUGGACCUGUGGCUACCAGAAGUCCUGAGAUGUGGUAUGCGGCAUCAAAAACCACAGGGAACCAUGAUGUGGGGGGUCUGCAUUGAGGCCCAAGUUUUUGUUCUGAGAAGCACUUCAGGGGAUUCUGAUGCAGGCUGGCCUGUACCAUGCUCUGAGAAAUACCAUUCUAUGGCCUGGAGAGAGCUGCACUUUACUCAUCUCUGUCCCUGACAGUGAUUAGCCUCCAGCUCCACACCGCUGUGCUGCCCUGCUGAAUUCAGCCAUGAGGUGGCAGCUGGCUAUGACCAGCUCCAUCUCAUUGCCUGAUAUCCAGCACCUGGAUCAAAAGGAAAAGAGGAAAGACAGUGUGAUACCAUAUGAAGAAGAUGAUCUUCUACAAGCCAGGAAGAAAAGCCUCUCCAGAAAUCUGCCCUGACAUACUGAGUUUGGAUUUUCAGCCUCUAGAACUCAGCGAAUCUUCAUCCCUGAACAAGAAGUUUAUUCUUUCCAACAACUUUGAGAAAGGAUAGAGAUCAGGGAAUGUGCUGACAGUCCAGCAGGACCUAUGUAUGGAAUGUCUCACUUUUCAUCAUCUGGGAAUGGAAUCCUGGACAUAAUAGGUGCCCAAGUUCCACCUGUGUUUCUCAUGAUGUCCUAUUUAACCUCAAGGUAUUUGGUGUAACAGAGUAUAGACAGCCAUACCCCAGGAACCUCAGGAACAAAUAGUGGACCUGCAAAAGAAAUUUAAAAAUAUGGGCAGAAAGAAGAAGGGAAAGAAAAGCUACCAGUCAUGAGAGAGGGGCAUUAUAAAGAGAUUGGAGCUUCUAUCAACUUCUGGUUAUAUGUCUUCAGUUAUUUCCUAAGGAGCCUAUUUACCUUCAGGGUAUUAUCUUCAAAUUGAACUUUUCCAACUUAAAGACUUUGUCCUAAAGUACAAAUGUGAUCACAUCACUAGCUAGUUUACAAGUGAAUAGGGUUCAUAUGAAUGGUGACUACGUAUUGCUUAUGGCAUGAAUUCUUGACAGUAAGAGUAGCAUUUAGUACCAUUCACAGUCUGAAUGUUAUCUACAUUAGACCAAACUCUCACCUCACCCCCUAUUCUCUAGUCUUAUCCGGCCACCCUUUAUUAUUCCAAUACAGCAUAUUCUUACAUACAGAUGUCUUGGUUCAUGUAUUUUCUCUCUACCUGGAAUGUUCUUUUUUAUAAUUUGUUACCUAAAGGAAAUCUUGCUUGCUCUUUCUGAAGUGUUUUUCAGUACUUUAAAGUAGAAAGAACUGUGGUUCUCUGCUCUUAUAUAUGAAGAUAUUGUAUUUUGUUCAUAAGCAACCAAUAGCCCUUAUAGUUUAAUUUAAAACCUGUGUACUAGGAAUUCAUAUAAUUUAAAUAUUGUAAGAAACCUUAAAGCCAGCCAGUCCAAAUCCUUUCAUACAGUGAGUAUCCUCCAGGGCCCACCCAGAAAGGUGAAGUAAUUUUCUUAAAUUUAUUCUGUCAUUGUUAAGUUCUCAGAAGUAAAUAGAAAUUCUCAUCCUAGCCCUUUCCCACUUAUAUCACAUUGUCUCAUGAUGCAUCAAAGCAUUUUUUCAGAAUUGUUAGUUUUGUCAUACAUUCUUAUUUUUCAUUCAUCAUUUUAUUCUAACUUUUUAAAAAAUGCAGUAACCCAUAAAGGGUUAGUGGUUCUUCAGUGUUUCAAUAUAAACACACUUAACAGAUGAAUUUCUUCAGCAUUAGUAGCAGCAUGUGAUCAUAGAUGAGAUAAAAAUGGAAGACAAUUGGGCCAUUUUUGUUUCUGAAUCAUUUUCAAGACCCAAGAAACCUGGAAACCCCCCAAACUGAACAGACACAUCAGGAGACUUAAUAUGUAAAAUGCCACAUUUUUAAUCAGUUUCUGAAUUCUGCCACCAUGCAGACACUCUAUUGACUACUAUAUUUGUGUGCUGCUGGCACUAGAAAUAUCCUGGAAUGCCUAGGUGUAUACUGCUUUUAAAUAGAUGUUAUCAAAUUGAAGAAAUUUCAAGAAAGUAUUUAAAAAUAGAAUCUAGGACUUUCUGAUGGACAGAGUUCAAAAAUAAGCAAAACCUAGAAGUCCCUAAAAACAGUUUGAAAACUCUAAGGAUUAGAAGAUUAGUUUAUUGCUUGCUAUGAGUUCAGAGGGAUGAAGAAAUUAUAAUAACAAUCUACAAACAUGAGAAGUAGAAACUAAUUUUUUGAAUUGAUAUGAGAGAAAAAUAAGAUUAAUGACAUAAAAUUAACAAUGAGUGGUUUAACAUAUAUUAAGGUCUAAUUCAUCUUAGCAGACAAAACUAAUGAAUGACGGCAUUUUUUUAAGUAAGAAGUGGAAGCUCUGGAAUUAAGAAAAAUAUUCAAGUACACAAAUGACAGAAUACUGUAGUGCUGGGAGUAAACAUGAAGGCCUUGGGUGACAGAAAGAGUGUUUUCCCCUAAUUUCAAACUUUGUUAGUAAGUCUGAGCAUGUUUACUCGCUAAUAUUUGGGAUAUCAUGGAAAUCACACUAAAAUAGGAAGUAAAAGGUGACUAUGAGGUGAAGGGUAAAAUUAUUGGAAGAAAAGAAGACAUUGACUUUGGAUCAAAUGUUACAGAAACCAUGAAUCUCCGAAUUGUUAUAUAUUGUUUAUUUCCGAAGUUUAGUUAUGAUUUUUA